rnacentral:rRNA from 1 species
CCUACGGGAGGCAGCAGUGAGGAAUAUUGGUCAAUGGACGAGAGUCUGAACCAGCCAAGUAGCGUGAAGGAUGACUGCCCUAUGGGUUGUAAACUUCUUUUAUAUGGGAAUAAAAUGUUCCACGUGUGGGAUUUUGUAUGUACCAUAUGAAUAAGGAUCGGCUAACUCCGUGCCAGCAGCCGCGGUAAUACGGAGGAUCCGAGCGUUAUCCGGAUUUAUUGGGUUUAAAGGGAGCGUAGGUGGAUUGUUAAGUCAGUUGUGAAAGUUUGCGGCGUAACCGUAAAAUUGCAGUUGAAACUGGCAGUCUUGAGUACAGUAGAGGUGGGCGGAAUUCGUGGUGUAGCGGUGAAAUGCUUAGAUAUCACGAAGAACUCCGAUUGCGAAGGCAGUUCACUAGACUGCAACUGACACUGAGGCUCGAAAGUGUGGGUAUCAAACAGGAUUAGAUACCCCAGUAGUC